rnacentral:rRNA from 1 species
GAUGAACGCUGGCGGCGUGCCUAAUACAUGCAAGUCGAGCGAACAGAUGAGGAGCUUGCUCCUCUGACGUUAGCGGCGGACGGGUGAGUAACACGUGGAUAACCUACCUAUAAGACUGGGAUAACUUCGGGAAACCGGAGCUAAUACCGGAUAAUAUAUUGAACCGCAUGGUUCAAUAGUGAAAGACGGUUUUGCUGUCACUUAUAGAUGGAUCCGCGCCGCAUUAGCUAGUUGGUAAGGUAACGGCUUACCAAGGCAACGAUGCGUAGCCGACCUGAGAGGGAGGGGGGCCACAGGUAGACUUACACACGGUCCAGACUCCUACGGGAGGCAGCAGUAGGGAAUUGUCCGCAAUGGGCGAAAGCACGAAGGAGUAAGGAAGCGGGAGUGAUGAAGGGCUUAGGAACCUAAAAAUCUGUUAUUAGGAAAGAACAAAUGUGUAAGUAACUAUGCACGUCUUGACGGUACCUAAUCAGAAAGCCACGGCUAACUACGUG